UACGGAGGGUGCGAGCGUUGUCCGGAAUCACUGGGCGUAAAGGGCGCGUAGGCGGCCAUACAGGUCAGCUGUGAAAACUCGAGGCUCAACCUCGAGACGUCGGUUGAAACCGUAUGGCUAGAGUCCGGAAGAGGAGAGUGGAAUUCCCGGUGUAGCGGUGAAAUGCGCAGAUAUCGGGAAGAACACCCGUGGCGAAGGCGGCUCUCUGGGACGGUACUGACGCUGAGACGCGAAAGCGUGGGGAGCGAACAGG
rnacentral:rRNA from 1 species